UCGCCGCACACGGAAAGAUUUUGGCACGCGAGGCAGAAAUUAUCAAACAUGUUAGAUAUUUGGCGUAAGUGGCACGAACGACAAAAGUCGUUCGUAAAUCGCCCGCACACGAGAGCUAUCUCCUCACGCCAACAGUCACGAAUGACAUUUUGCUAAGCACACAUAGCUCUAGUGUGCGCCGGCCUUUACGGCUUUGAAGUGGAGCAUGAAUGUCAGCAACAUAAUUGAAUGUUGUUUGAAAGUUCUCCCAAAGCAUAUUUGGAUCAUUUAUCUCCCAAUUUAAAUUAGAUAAAGCAUGGUAUAAGUCUUGGUUAAACUCAC